UGUGUUGACUUCUUUUGGUUUGAAUUUAGUUGUACUCGAAUUUCUAUUUGAAAAUGACUUUGAAAUAGAAAAAAAAGAAAGGAAAAGAAAGAAAAAAAAACAAAACAAUGCCUCACCCUCUCUCGGUUUCGGCCUGGCGACCCAGAGCCUGGCGCGGCCCAGCUCCCACUCCCUCCCGCACUCGGCCCACUCUCUCUCCCGGCCCAACCGCGCGCGCGCCUCCCCUUCUCAGUCGCUGGC
rnacentral:lncRNA from 1 species